rnacentral:rRNA from 1 species
GACGAACGCUGGCGGCGUGCCUAAUACAUGCAAGUCGAGCGGAUGAAAGAGGAGCUUGCUCCUCUAGAUUCAGCGGCGGACGGGUGAGUAACACGUGGGCAACCUGCCCUGUAGAUUGGGAUAACUCCGGGAAACCGGGGCUAAUACCGAAUAAUCCUUCGGACCUCAUGGUCCGAUGUUGAAAGACGGUUUCGGCUGUCACUACAGGAUAGGCCCGCGGCGCAUUAGCUAGUUGGUGAGGUAACGGCUCACCAAGGCCGCGAUGCGUAGCCGACCUGAGAGGGUGAUCGGCCACACUGGGACUGAGACACGGCCCAGACUCCUACGGGAGGCAGCAGUAGGGAAUCUUCCACAAUGGACGAAAGUCUGAUGGAGCAACGCCGCGUGAGUGAAGAAGGUUCUCGGAUCGUAAAACUCUGUUGUGAGGGAAGAACAAGUACCGGAGUAACUGCCGGUGCCUUGACGGUACCUCAUUAGAAAGCCACGGCUAACUACGUGCCAGCAGCCGCGGUAA